rnacentral:rRNA from 1 species
AUACGGAGGAUCCGAGCGUUAUCCGGAUUUAUUGGGUUUAAAGGGUGCGCAGGCGGCCAUUUAAGUCAGCGGUUAAAUCAUGGGGCUCAACCCCAUUCUGCCGUUGAUACUGGGUGGCAUGAUUGCGGUCGAGGUUGGCGGAAUUCGUUGUGUAGCGGUGAAAUGCAUAGAUAUGACGAAGAACACCGAUUGCGUAGGCAGCUGACCAGACCGCAAAUGACGCUCAUGCACGAAAGUGCGGGGAUCGAACAGGAUUAGAUACCCUGGUAGUCCGCACAGUAAACGAUGAAUACUUGUUUUCGGCGAUAUAAUGUCGGAGGCAAAGCGAAAGCGUUAAGUAUUCCACCUGGGGAGUACGCCGGCAACGGUGAAACUCAAAUGAAUUGACGGGG